rnacentral:lncRNA from 1 species
CUGUCAGUUUAACUGCCUCAGCCUCAGCCCGGUUCCAAACCCUUGCUGGAGAGGUGAUACAGUCAUUUGGAGGAAAGAGGGUUGCUGUGGUAUGCUGGGGUUCCGCUUCAAUGCCUAGUCACCUCAGAUUUUCCUGUACCUGCAGGUAUCACCAGUGAAGCCUGCGAAGCAGCAAAGAUGGCAGUCUGCCCCGUCUUCUAGGAGCUCUGUCACAGGGAGACAAGCCGUGCUGUGCUGGCGGACCACUUCAGCUCAUGGUCACCUCAGACACUCUGAAGCCUGAAGGCUGGAACAACUAAAUUGCCCAAACAGCAAAUAUGACAGCAUCUACAGAAAUCAUUUUAUUUGAGUUAUGUAGCAAGAACCCAACUUAAGCAAAUAUAAAAUUUACAACUAAGUCACUAUUUGGAUAUUAAUGUGUAUGCUAAACUGAUUUGUUCAUGGGCUAGUCAGCUAUUCAUAUGAUCUUUACAAUUUUCUGAAUUCCAUUUUUUGGUUAAAAAAAGAAAACAAGCUGAUACUUUUAUCACUUUCUAAGAAACAUUUGAUUUAAAUUCUUAUGCCUUCAAUAUCUCAUGUAAAAUGCUAGUUUCAUUACUACUGUAAGUAAAUAUGUGUAAAACAGAAAGUAUCUGAGACAAGUCUCAAUCAGUUUUGAAGUUUAUUUGGCCAAGGUUAAGGAUAUGCCCAGAAGAAAUAAACAUGCAAUCACAGAAACAGUC